AUCAAUUCGAAACUCUCUCAAUCGAAAUCCCUCACUCGUCCUCUCGUCGUCUCUCACUCAUCCUCUCUGGAACCCAAACUUGAUCGAUCUGAGGACGACCCAGAUAGAAAUUGGAUCCGAUUAUUGGAUCUGAAUCUGAUGGUGUGCGAUUGGAUGAAAUGGGUCACGCUAUUCUUAUUGUUAUCGUUCUGGAAUUUUGGUGCUAGGGUUAUUGUGGAUGUGAGGCUGCAUAUUCAUAAACGACGAUGCAGCUUCACUUCUCGCCUAAUAUGAGAAGUAUCACAAUAUCGAGCACAAACAAUGGGUUUAUUGACUUAAUGAAGAUCAAGGUCGCAGCUCGCCAUACUUCCUAUCGAACCCUUUUUCAUACCAUUCUUAUAUUAGCUUUCUUAUUUCCUUGUGUAUUCAUUCUCACUGCUCUUGUACUUUUUACAAUCUAUCUUUCAACCCUUUUUUUAUCUCAUAAUCAUGUAAUCUAUUUAGUUAUGAUUGAUUGCUUUUUUGUUAUCGUUAGGAGGCUGGUUAAGGUACCAAUUGCUUAUAAAUUCAUAGUAUCAUUCUGAUUGCGUAUUAGGCUGAGCUGUUUGUUACUUGUCAAAUUAAUGAUAGUGAUUAUCUUGUGCACAUGGUAUUAAAAUUUUAUUUUUUUAUUAUGAAUUAGGAUCUAAGUGUUAUUGAUUAAAAUAAAUGGAGUUAAAAGUUAGAGAGUCAUUUAGCGUAUCAUAUGAGUAACUUUGGCAUCAAAAGAACUGUGUUGUGGUUUUCUUGGUCAGAAAGAAUCAAGUUUGCCUAGUUUGGGUCUAGGGGUUCUGGUUAUUGAUCAGAUUAAUCUUGUUGAUAAUUAGAUCUAGGGUUUUAAGUUACAGUUGCUGCCAUGUUUGCAUUGUGGCUAUUAUGAGUUAGUUGCCCGGGCUGGCUAAUUGUCACGUGGUUUGCAUUUUGCAAUCGGUGCGUGUGAUGUGAUUGUGGCGGUGACCAUUGCAACCUAGAUGCUGAGGCUGUAUCAUGUGAUGCGGUCUGCAAUUUAAUGCCUUGAUUACAUAUGAUAAAAGAAUGGCUAUAGUUGUGGGAGGGGCCAAUAAUAUAGGCUUAACUUGCACUUUGAAAUUAUGUUUGUACUUAAAUGGCUCAAGUACUCAAGUGGAGCUUGCAAAUAUUUAUGAUGUAUAUGCAUAGUUAAAUAGGUAAGUGCAUAUUUUCACACAAAACAACGCCUUGGAAAUGGACUUGCUUUUGCGAAAUGCAUAUAACUUUGUCUUCCUGGGGAUUGCUAUGUUUUCUUAACUGCAUUUUUGUGUGCCCUUCACAAAUGGCAGGAAUCACAUGGAAGAACAGUGUCAUCAUUGAACAUAACAGAUGAAAAAGCUCCGAAAUUAUAUCUCAAAUAUAUGUGACUUUUGCGGGUAAACAUAUUUCUUGCAUUCUUCCAAGUUCCUCUUUGCAUUUUUGUGUAUUGUGUUUAUCCAUUUCAGUUUGAUCUUCUUCAUGAUUUGAUUGAUUCUUCAUGUUUUUUAUGAUAUUUGGUGUACCUGAAGAAAAGGGAAGUUCGGUUGGAACCUUAAAUCGUACAUUAUGCCGUAUUAGUCAUGAAGGUAGAUCUUUUCGAUUCAUGACCCAAUUGAUGAUUGAAAAUGGUCCAGCAAGACAGAGGAAAAGGAGUUUCUGACUAGGUCUAUUUUGAUUAGAAUUAGAAAUUUAGAGUCCUUGUAUGUAGAAUGUCCAAUUUUUUUAUAGUGUUGUUUGGAUCAAUAAUUUCACUAACUUAGUUUCUGACUAAUUUCACUAAUUUGUUUCUUAUGCUGCAGCUUCACAUUGAGUAGAGUAUUGUGCUCCCCAAAAAAAAAAAACUGCAGCUAUUUAGGAGCGAGGUCAGGUUUCUCUCUUAUUUGACAUUGUACGUUGUUUAGUUUAAGUUUUGGUAAGUUGCUAUAUAGGAGCUCUUAGGUCUUGCAAACUGUCUUGAUUUUGAUGACAAUAUUAGCGAUGCAAUUUAGGAAAGGGAUGUAUAGUAUGGUGCUAUUGUACAUAUGUGAUUUGAAUUUAGUAAGUAUUAGGCUUUGGCAUUUUAGUGUGGUGAACUAUCUUGAUUUAGGAAGGGAUCUAGGUAUGUGUGAAGUUAUUAUAUGGUGAAUUGUUUUGAUAUUAAUUUUGGAUGUUGAAUGGUACAUAUUAGUAUUGUUAACAUUACUAUUUGCCUUAAUUCAAAUGUAGUGUCAUGUUCUUCAUUUUUAAUUUUGGAUGUUGUUUGUUGUGAAAUUAUGUUUAUAUAUGCAUGUUAUAUAUAGUCUUGCUGGCCUGUGGGUUAUAUAUGCAUGUUAUGUUCUUUCAUGUGUACAGCGGGCAUUGGCAAUUAAUAAUUAUGUGUCCUAAGAACAAUGUAAUAGUUUGCCUUUGUUCAUUACACCAUAAGAUACCUGAAGCAGUGAAGAAUCUUUUUACAAAGUAAGUUAUUAUUUUAUUUAGUUUGCCUUUGUUCAUCCGCUUAUUGUUUAUUAAAACAUUGUUGAUUUUUAAAUUUUUUUAGUGCUUUUAAAGUUCAUCAAUUAGCAACUUUUGAUAAUAGAAAGAAGACUACAUGAAUUUUUCCCAAAACAAGGGUACAGCCUAACGGCAAUGGCUGUGGAUAUUAUGUAAUGAAGAAUAUGAUUGACAUUGUCUCUGCUAGUAUUACAAAUAAUUGGAUGGAGAUAUUAUAUUUUUCUUUAUCGACAUUGGAGUUGAACCUUUAAUUUGACAUGUUAUUAUAGAAUCUGAUGCACUUAGCUAAGGUUGUAUUUUUCUAUGUAAUGAAUUUGUGGGUCUGGAAUAGUAGCUGGGUGUGUUUUUUCCUGGUGUGUGCUGGUGGCUGUUUGCUUCUGCUGGUUUUGGUCACAUUUUUUUCCUAAUUAGGAGGCACUGUUUUGCUUUUUUGCUGUUUGCUGCUAUUAUGGUGUUGUGGUUUCUAGGAUAGACGUUUGGUUGCUAUUCUGCCUUGCUUUCUUGUGGCUGUUAUCUUGUAUAUUAUAAGUACUCCUUGUACUUAAUUUCUAAUAAA